rnacentral:tRNA from 1 species
GCCCGUUUAGCUCAGUGGUAGAGCGUUGCACUUGUAAUGCAAAGGCCGGUUGUUCGAGUCAGCCAAUGGGCA